rnacentral:rRNA from 1 species
UACGAAGGGGACUAGCGUUGUUCGGAAUCACUGGCGUAAAGCGCACGUAGGCGGAUGUGUCAGUCAGGGGUGAAAUCCCGGGGCUCAACCUCGGAACUGCCUUUGAUACAGCACGUCUCGAGUCCGGAAGAGGUGGGUGGAAUUCCUAGUGUAGAGGUGAAAUUCGUAGAUAUUAGGAAGAACACCGGUGGCGAAGGCGGCCCACUGGUCCGGUACUGACGCUGAGGUGCGAAAGCGUGGGGAGCAAACAGG